GAUGAACGCUAGCUACAGGCUUAACACAUGCAAGUCGAGGGGAAACGAUAUUGGAAGCUUGCUUCCGAUAGGCGUCGACCGGCGCACGGGUGAGUAACGCGUAUCCAAACUGCCCACCACUUGGGGAUAACCUUGCGAAAGUAAGACUAAUACCCAAUGAUAUCUCUAGAAGACAUCUGAAAGUGAUUAAAGAUUUAUCGGUGAUGGAUGGGGAUGCGUCUGAUUAGCUUGUUGGCGGGGUAACGGCCCACCAAGGCGACGAUCAGUAGGGGUUCUGAGAGGAAGGUCCCCCACAUUGGAACUGAGACACGGUCCAAACUCCUACGGGAGGCAGCAGUGAGGAAUAUUGGUCAAUGGACGAGAGUCUGAACCAGCCAAGUAGCGUGCAGGAUGACGGCCCUAUGGGUUGUAAACUGCUUUUAUAAGGGAAUAAAGUGAGCCUCGUGAGGCUUUUUGCAUGUACCUUAUGAAUAAGGACCGGCUAAUUCCGUGCCAGCCGCCGCAGUAA
rnacentral:rRNA from 1 species